AACUCCUGACCUCGUGAUCCACCCACCUCGGCCUCCCAAAGUGCUGGGAUUUACAGGCAUGAGCCACCCUGCCCUGCCUAAUCAUACAAGUUUUAUCUAGAAUAUUAUUUGAGCAGGAGGGUGGUAAAUGAGUGUGGUGUUAUGACAUUUUUCAAUGCCAAUGUAUGGUUGUGUAUUUGAGGUAUGUGGAGAACAAUUUUAAAUGCUUGCAAUUUCAUAUAAUCUUGACUGUCUAUAAAUAUUUUUAGGGUUUCGUUAAUGAUAAUCACUUC
rnacentral:lncRNA from 10 species